AAGAAGAGUAAGCAACAGAGGUGUAUGUGACUUGUAAGCCUAAAAUAUUUACUAACUGGACCAUCAGAGCAAAGAUUUGCCGACCUUUGGCACAAGGAUUAUAAUGCAAGGUCUUUAUCAGGAAGAAGGUGAAAGGGCUCUGGAGUACAGAGCAGGAAAUACCACUCUUGAUGCAUGGAAUCCAAGAAAGUGUAUGGAUAGAGGAAGUGAACUAUGAAGAAAAGAUGGGAUUUCAACACAAGGAAAUGGAACAGAAGGAAAGAGGAGGAGAGCAAGAAUCAACCUAUUAUCUCUCACUCUGAACUGCAAUGCAUAGUGGGGAGCUUUGAAAAUAUGUUUGUUCCAAAUCCUAAAGUUGAAAAUAAAUGGAAACUAAAAUAAACUUACCUAUAUUCUAAGUUGAAAAUUCCCCACAGAGAGCAAGAAUUAUUUCAAAUGACUUUUGACCUCAGUACGCCAACUGGAAUUCUCUCACGGGAAGUAGGCCCAAGUGCCGUCGGGGCUGCGCAGCCGCAGUGAAUGGGGUGACCUGAGAGGAAGAAGAACACGUCUAAGUGGCAGACAGUCCCGGGCCCGCUCCUCACCGCAGUCUUCAUUUUCCCUUCACUCAUUCAGCAAAGAAUUACUAAGCGCCUACUGCGCAGGAAGCACUGGAAGCGUCGUGGCAGAAGCUUCUUCCUGGAAGAAAAAGUAAACUUCUUGAGGCUUCUUCUCGAGUUGUAGGUCUUAAUCUCAUUUCAGGAUUUGGUUAUCCAGAGGCCCAGCACUACCUUCAGAUCGGAGCUGAGAUGCACAGGCCCUGGUGGGAGAGCGUGACGUGCAGUGCUUUCUCGUGGAACCGGGCCCUGGCGGACCAGGCUGCAAACCCGCGUCUGCUGACUCACUCAUUCUCGCCACACACUUCGCGCCAGCCUGGCCCGGGCAAAAACAAACAGCGCAGGCUCUGCACUUCUCUGGAGCAGGCUCCCGGGGACCCUGGCACCGGGAUCCCCGCACGAGGAUGUUUAUUUGGGGAAAAAAAAAGGAUUUCGAUCCCUGUGGCACAGGUGUUCCUCUCUCCAGUUAAAGAAGCCAGGUGGCAUCCCAUGGUCACAGAGCUUGGGCUUUAAUCCACAAGGGCAGAUGCAGAGCCCUCCUGUGUGCUAGCAGCUCCUGACAUGUUGAGUUCACUUUCGACCGUCAGAAAUCAUCUGCUGCUUCUCCUUUUGUCAGAGCUCACAGACAGCACCCAAAUUACUAACUCUCCUGAGUGGCGUCUUUUCCCUGGCACCUUGGCAGAUGGUCAAGAAAUAGAAAUUUGUCCCAGGCAGUGCAGACCAUCUGUGGGGUCCUGGAGGAGACUCUUCACCCUGGCUGCCUGGCUUGCUGAGAGGGGAGGGGACCAGGCAGCUGUCACUGAGAGCCCGUCUGGGCAUUCGUGCUCCCUCCCUCCUUCACGUCCUUGGUGUGUGGGGUGAGUGUGUGCUCCAGCUAUGCGCCCCGCCCUUCGGUGGACCUGCCUUCACAUCUGCCCUAAGCCUUUGCUCUAGGGAGGAGUCUGCGUGGAAGUGGACAUGCUCCCGGCCAAGAUUUCAGCCCCGACCAACGUCUUGCCAAACCUAUGUGUGCUCUUCUGUGGACGUGAGCUUGGGGAGGUGCCCUGAGCUCGCCAGAUCCCACAGCGGGAGGCUGCAAGUGACUCUGCUGACAAAUGACACGGUUAGAUCUUGAGCUAAAAUUAGCAUCUAUGGCCCAUCGUUGUCCUUUUCACCUUUACUUGCUGACAGAAAACAAAGUUUGAGAAGGAAGCAUUAAUAUUAGUGACAUAAAUUCCCUUUAUCUCAAUCAGACCAUGCUUGGAAAGAGAGAAAGAGGCGAGGUUGGAAGUCUCACAGGCUGUGUGAGGAGAAGGCCACAGCAGUACCAAGGAUGGAACUCAUGGCAUCACACAUCUAGGCAAGAGCUCACUGCUGAGCUACACUUCUAGUCCUGAUCUUUUUCAUACAAAUGAACUGGAUUUUAGACAACUUGGUCUCAGAGAAGAUCCUGUUUCAUUCUUGGGAAAUCUGCAGUUUUUUGCAUUCAUCAGGU
rnacentral:lncRNA from 1 species